AGAGUUUGAUCAUGGCUCAGAACGAACGCUGGCGGCAGGCUUAACACAUGCAAGUCGAACGGACCCUUCGGGGUUAGUGGCAGACGGGUGAGUAACGCGUGGGAACCUACCUAUAAGUACGGAACAACACAGAGAAAUUUGUGCUAAUACCGUAUGUGGUCUUCGGAUUAAAGAUUUAUCGCUUAUAGAUGGGCCCGCGUUAGAUUAGCUAGUUGGUGAGGUAACGGCUCACCAAGGCGACGAUCUAUAGCUGGUCUGAGAGGAUGAUCAGCCACACUGGGACUGAGACACGGCCCAGACUCCUACGGGAGGCAGCAGUGAGGAAUAUUGGACAAUGGGGGCAACCCUGAUCCAGCCAUGCCGCGUGAGUGAUGACGGCCUUAGGGUUGUAAAGCUCUUUCAGUAGUGAAGAUAAUGACGGUAACUACAGAAGAAGCCCCGGCUAACUUCGUGCCAGCAGCCGCGGUAAUACGAAGGGGGCUAGCGUUGUUCGGAAUCACUGGGCGUAAAGCGCGCGUAGGCGGACUUUUAAGUCAGGGGUGAAAUCCCGAGGCUCAACCUCGGAACUGCCUUUGAUACUGGAAGUCUUGAGUUCGAGAGAGGUGAGUGGAAUACCGAGUGUAGAGGUGAAAUUCGUAGAUAUUCGGUGGAACACCAGUGGCGAAGGCGGCUCACUGGCUCGAUACUGACGCUGAGGUG
rnacentral:rRNA from 1 species